GGAUUUCGCGCUGGGAGACAUGGAGGCCAUUGCUAACGAGCUCAGCGUCUAUGACAAGCUCUCGGAGACUGUGGACUUGGUGCGGCAGACCGGCCAUCAGUGCGGCAUGUCGGAGAAGGCCAUCGAGAAGUUCAUCACGCAGCUGCUGGAGAAGAAUGAGCCCCAGCGGGAGCCCCCCCAGCACCCCGUGCUUGUCGCUGUGUACAAGGUGCUUCUGACCCUGGGCUUAAUCGUCCUCGCUGCCUACUUCAUGAUCCAGCCUUUCAGCCCGCUCGCACCGGAGCCCACGCUCUCUGGGGCUCAGAGCUGGCGUGCGCUCAUCCGCCACAUCCGCCUGGUGUCCUUACCCAUCACCAAGAAGUACCUGCCGGAGAGCAAGGGCGCUGCCCUGCCCGCCACGGAGGAGGACAGACACUUCACGGGACAGCAGUGCCACCGUGGUCCUCCACUGCGGCUGCCUGAUGCUCAGGCUGACCCAGGGCUGAGGGGGCCCUGCCCCAGACGGGUGCCUGAGGGAGCUGCAGAGCGCAUAGAUCGAGCCUCUCCCUUGCUGACAGACCUGGCUUUCGACAAGGACCUCGACCCCUGGUGGCCCGGCGACUGUGAGCGCAAUGAGUCGGAGCGCGUGCCCGCCAACUGCACCGCCUGCGCUCACAGCCUGCCCCUGGAGGUGACGCUCCCCGAGGACGCCCCGAGGACGUUCGACAGCCUGCGGCAGCUGGUGAUCAAGACGGGGCGGCCUCUGCUGACCGAGGAGAUCCAGCGCUUCCUGUGCCGGUACCCGGAGGUCGCCGAGGGCUUCCCCGAAGGGCUUCUCGCCAAGUGGCAGCGUUGCUUCCCCGAACGGUGGUUCCCGUUUCCUUACCCGUGGAGGAGACCUCUGAACAGAUCACAGAUUUUGCGUGAACUUUUUCCUGUUUUUACCCGCCUCUCGUUUCCUAAAGAUGCCUCCUUAAAAAAGUGCUUCCUUCUCCGCCCGGAACCUGUUGUGGGGAGCAAGAGGCACAGGGUGCACGAGCUGUUCGCAGUCGGCAGCGGCGAGGCCAUGUUGCAGCUCAUCCCGCCCUUCCAUUGCCGGCGACACUGUCAGUCCGUGGCCAUGCCAGUAGAGGCGGGGGACAUCGGUUCUAUAAAUGCCUGAUGGUUCGCACAGCUAACUGUGGAAACACCUGAGUCACCCAAGUUCCAGAUUAGCAGUCCGCGCACACCGAUGACAGACCGAGGGGAAAGGCGUCUGGCAGCAGUCGGGAGGCUCUGCCCUCAGACCCGGAGCCUUCUCGCAUCGCGCUUCUGCGGCUGCUCCGCUGUCCAGGUGGAAGGGAACCUGUGGCCAGCAGUGUCUAGGAAAGGCUACACCAGCGCCGCCCACUGGAAAGCCUACGUCAUAGCCAGAGGAGACCAGCCUUUGGUCAUCUGCGACGGAG